GUAAACUAUUUAAAAAAUCUUCUCCUCUGAAACUACUGGGCCAAAUACCUUCAAACUUUAACUAAAUGUUCCUUAGGGUAUCUAGUUUAUAAAUUGUAUCUGAAGUUUUGAUCCAUCGACAAACAUGGCCGCCAUGGCUAAAAAUAGAACAUAGGGGUCAAAUGCAGUUUUUGGCUUAUAUCUCAAAAACUAAAUCUUUUAGAGCAAAUCUGACAUGGGGUAAAAUUGUUCAAUUGGUCAAGAUCUAUCAGCUCUGAAAUUUUCAGACGAAUCGAACAACCCAUUGUUGGGUUGCUGCCACCGAAUUGGUAGUUUUAACAUAAUUUUGCAGUUUUUAUACGACCGCAAAAAUUAAAAAUUUUUUGGUCGUAUAUUGGUAUGACGUUGGCGUCGUCGUCGUCGUCGUCGUCGUCGUCGUCGUCCGGCGUCGUCCGAAGACACAUUGGUUUUCGCACUCUAACUUUAGUUUAAGUGAAUGGAUCUCCAUGAAAUUUUACCAUAAGGUUCAAUACCACGAAAGGAAGGUUGGGAUUGAUUUUGGGGGUUAUGGUACCAACAGUUAAGGAAUUAGGGGCCAAAAAGGGGCCAAAAAUAAGCAUUUUUGUAACUUUCAGACAAUAACUUGUGUGUAAGUGUAUGGAUCUCUCUGACAUUGUACCACAAGGUUCCAUAUCACAAAGGGAAGGCUGUAAUUGAUUUUGGGGGUAAUUGCCUCAAAAUUUUAGGAAUUAGGGGCCAAAAAAGGGGAAAAAAACAAGCAUUUUUCUAGUUUCAUGACAAUAACUUGUGUGUAAGUGUUUGGAUAUUUCUGAAAUUGUAAUAUAAGGUUUCAUAUCACAAAGGGAAAGCUGGAAUUGAGUUCAGGGGUAAUUGCCUGAAACGUUUAGGAAUUGGGGCCCAAAAAGGGGCCAAAAAUAAGCAUUUUUCUAGUUUCAAGACAAUAACUUGUGUUCAAGUGUAUGGAUCUCUCUGAAAUUGUACUGCAAGGUACCAUACCACAAAGGGAAGGCUAGGAUUGAGUUUGGGGGUGAUGAAUCAUAAGGGGGUUCAAAACAUUUGGGGGGGGGAUUUUUUUUUUUUUCUUUUUUUUUCUUUUUUUCCUUUUUUUUUCUUUUAAAAUUUUCCAUUUUAAGUUGGUUAUUUCUGAUUUAUAUUUAAAAGCAAAUAAUAAUGAUAUGGUAGGAGAUACACACCAAACAGGAUGUGUAAAUUUUUAUAUAAUAAGUAUUGUGCAAUAGCAAGAAAUUUUCAAUUGCACAGUAUUGCACAAUAGCAAGAAAUCUUCAAUUGCACAGUAUUGCGCAAUAGCAAGAAAUCUUCAAUUGCACAGUAUUGGGCAAUAGCAAGAAAUAUCCAAUAGCACAAUAUUGCGCAAUAGCAAGAAAUUGUCAAUUGUACAGUAUUGCGCAAUAGCAAGAAAUAUUCAAUUGCACAGUAUUGUGCAAAAGAAGAUACUUCUUAUAAAUUGCUUAUUUCUUGAUCAAUUUCAAUGGGGUUUUAUUCUUGAAUUCUUGGGGUUCUUUAAUAUGCUGAAUAUAACCGUGUAUUAAGUUUUUGGAUUUUGGGCCCCAUUUUUAAAUUGGUCCACAUUGAGGUCCAAAGGGUCCAAAAUUUAACUUUGUUUGAUUUCAUCAAAAAUUGAAUUAUUGGGGUUCUUUGAUAUGCCGAAUCUAACUGUGUAUUUAGAUUUUUAAAUUUUGGUUCCGUUUUCAAAUUGGUCUACAUUAAGGUCCAAAGGGUCCAAAAUUAAACUUAGUUUGAUUUUAACAAAAAUUGAAUUCUUAGGGUUCUUUGAUAUGCUGAUUCUAAACAUGUAUUUAGAUUUUUGAUUAUGGGCCCAGUUUUCAAGUUGGUCCAAAUCGGGGUCCAAAAUUAAACUUUGUUUGAUUUCAACAAAAAUUGAAUAUAUGGGGUUCUUUGAUAUGCUGAAUCUAACCAUGUAUUUAGAUUUUUGAUUUUUGGGCCCCGUUAUCAACUUUGUCCACAUUGAGGUCAAAAGGGUCCAAAAUUAAACUUUUUUGUUUGAUUUCAUCAAAAAUUGAAUUAUUGGGGUUCUUUGAUAUGCCGAAUCUAACUGUGUAUUUAGAUUUUUAAAUUUUGGUUCCGUUUUCAAAUUGGUCUACAUUAAGGUCCAAAGGGUCCAAAAUUAAACUUAGUUUGAUUUUAACAAAAAUUGAAUUCUUAGGGUUCUUUGAUAUGCUGAUUCUAAACAUGUAUUUAGAUUUUUGAUUAUGGGCCCAGUUUUCAAGUUGGUCCAAAUCGGGGUCCAAAAUUAAACUUUGUUUGAUUUCAACAAAAAUUGAAUAUAUGGGGUUCUUUGAUAUGCUGAAUCUAACCAUGUAUUUAGAUUUUUGAUUUUUGGGCCCCGUUAUCAACUUUGUCCACAUUGAGGUCAAAAGGGUCCAAAAUUAAACUUUUUUGUUUGAUUUCAUCAAAAAUUGAAUUAUUGGGGUUCUUUGAUAUGCCGAAUCUAACCGUGUAUUUAGAUUCUUAAUUUUUGGUUCCGUUUUCAAAUUGGUCUACAUUAAGGUCCAAAGGGUCCAAAAUUAAACUUAGUUUGAUUUUAACAAAAAUUUAAUUCUUAGGGUUCUUUGAUAUGCUGAAUCUAAACAUGUAUUUAGAUUUUUGAUUAUGGGCCCAGUUUUCAAGUUGGUCCAAAUCGGGGUCCAAAAUUAAACUUUGUUUGAUUUCAACAAAAAUUGAAUAUAUGGGGUUCUUUGAUAUGCUGAAUCUAACCAUGUAUUUAGAUUUUUGAUUUUUGGGCCCCGUUAUCAACUUUGUCCACAUUGAGGUCAAAAGGGUCCAAAAUUAAACUUUGUUUGAUUUCAUCAAAAAUUGAAUUCUUGAGGUUCUUUGAUAUGCUGAAUCUAACCAUGUAUUUAGAUUUUGGAUAUUGGACCAUAAUAGGUGAAUGUCCAAUUUAA